GUGUUCCUACGGGACGCAGCAGUGGGGAAUAUUGCACAAUGGGGGAAACCCUGAUGCAGCGACGCCGCGUGAAGGAAGAAGUAUUUCGGUAUGUAAACUUCUAUCAGCAGGGAAGAAAAUGACGGUACCUGACUAAGAAGCCCCGGCUAACUACGUGCCAGCAGCCGCGGUAAUACGUAGGGGGCGAGCGUUGUCCGGAAUGACUGGGCGUAAAGGGUGCGUAGGCGGCAUAAUAAGUUAGAAGUGAAAUACCCAGAGCUUAACUCGGGUGCUGCUUCUAAGACUGUUGAGCUUGAGUGCGGGAG
rnacentral:rRNA from 1 species